GCCGGGCGUGGUGGCUCACGCCUGUAAUCCCAGCACUUUGAGAGGCCGAGGUGGGUGGAUCACCUGAGGUCAGGAGUUCGAGACCAGCCUGACCAACAUGGUGAAACCCCGUCUCUA
rfam:Gorilla gorilla gorilla genomic chromosome, chr5, whole genome shotgun sequence